rnacentral:lncRNA from 1 species
GAUUUAUAAUGCCAUAAACAUCUGCAGGUGAAUUAAUCUUAUUUAUAAAAAUCCUAAGAUAGCCACUAAAAGCUAUUAAAAUUAAUAAAAAGCUAGUAAAGUUUUAUAAAAUAUUAAUAUACAAAAGUCAGUUUUAUUUCUCUAGUGGUAAUGGUCAAAUCAAUAAUGAAAUAUUUAAAGCAACUACAAUAGCAACUAAAAGAGUUCUAAAAACUGAGGAAUAAGUUUUACCUAGGAAGUGUAAUAUUUGUACACCAAAAACUACAAAACUUUGUUGAAAGAUAUUUAAGAACAUUUAAAUUAAUGGAAAGAUACCCUGUGUUCAUGGAUUGGAAGAGUUCAUAUUAAGAUAUCAAUACCAGCAAAAUUAUUUUCAUCUAUAGAUCUAAUACACAAUUCUUACCAAAUUCCUGCUGCCUUUUUGUAGAAAUUUGCAAGGUACUCUUAAAAUUUACAUGGAAGGGGCUGGGGUUGUGGCUCAGUGAUAGAGCCUCACCUAGCACAUGCAAGGUGCUGGCUUCAAUCCUCAGCACCACAUAAAAAUAAAUAAAUACAAUAAAGGUAAAAAAAAUUACAUGGAAAUGCAAGAGAUCCACAAUAUCCAAAAUAAAAAGUCCAAUUGGAAUAAUCAUAUUAUCCAGUUUCACUGUAAUUCAUACUCUAUGGUACUGAUUUAGGGGAGACAUAAAUAUGAAUGUAAUAGAGUUGAGGGUCCAGAAGUAAAUACUUACAUAUAUUGAAUAUUGGUAAGGUGAUGAGAGCCAUGCAGUGGGGUAAGAAUUGUCUUUCCAAAAAAUAGUGUUGGCACAAUUGGUUAGGCACAUGCAAAAAAUUAAUUUGCCAGGUGCGGUGGCACAUGCCUGUAAUCCCAGCGGCUCUGGAGGCUAAGGCAGGAAGAUUGUGAAUUCAAGCCAGCCUCAGCAAAAAAAGCAAUACACUAAGCAAUUCAGUGAGACCCGUCUCUAAAUAAAAUACAAAAUGGGGCUGGGGAUGUGGCUUAGUAGUUGAGUGCACCUGAAUUCAAUCCCCAGUACCCCUGCCCCGGAAAAAGAAUUAAUCUGACUUCCUAUCUCAUACCAUAUAUAAAAAUUAACUCCAGGUCAGGCAUGGUGGCACAUAUCUGUAAUCCCAACUACUCAGGAG